AAAAGAAGAGGUUGUCAAGAUAGCCAAGGAGACUGCCUAUCACCCCUUUAAAAAGGCUUCUUAAUUAAUAGUAAUAGUACUAAUUAAUUAAAAACCCUAAUUUAAAGGUGCAGGCAAGUCAUCCUUGGCUACCAAACAUUAAACCGACUCUUCUCU
rfam:Spinacia oleracea cultivar SynViroflay scaffold74898.con0001.1, whole genome shotgun sequence.